AGUGUAACGGUGCCUCUGUGGGUUACAGCACCAUGGUCAAAACUGGAAAAAUAGUUUCUUAGAAACGAAUAAAGGCAAACUAUGGGAAAAUGGUCAUGGAAGGCUCUCUCACUAAGAAGAAGAAAACUCAGAAUGUCUUGUUAUUAGCAACAUAGAUCUCCAACUAAAGGGCUUACUCAUCCCUGCACUUGUGAUGUCUGCAUGGAGAUGGUGAGUACAGGGUCACCUUUGAGUUCUCUGUCAUUGUCAUAUUUUUGCUGUGCUGCUUCCAGAAUCUUUUUCAUCAUGUAAUCAGAGAUAGUGAUUAGGUCUGGGUGGUUAUUGAUCAUUUGGGGAAAAUAGACUUACUUUAAUCCUUCUUCAGAAUGGAUUCCCACAGAUAAGGUUUUCAUCUGGACUUAUUUUUACUGAGUGAAAGUGCCAUUUUCAAGAAACCCCCAAAGCUUUAUAUUUUAGAAUAAGUGAGGCCCAUCUAUGGGAAAAGAAAGCCACAGAAGACACUGAAAAACCACAUGACCCGGUGUUAAAUCAAGAAAAGCGUCUGGUAGGCAUGGGAAAGCCUGUUUAAGCUUCGAGGUCACUUUCUGCAUCUCAGCUCCUGUUUAUUUUCUGGACCUUGGUCAGCGUCUUCUUGACAGUGUAAUUUCUGCAAUGCAGCUGGACUUUGUGACCCAUAAUCAAACCCAGAAAGCCUUCAGCAAUCCCAUCUGGGUGAGGGGCUCCAUUUUGUUUGGUUGAAAUGAAAAAGUUAAACCUCCAUCCAGACAUGCCUCUUUGCAGGCCCAAUGACUCUUCCACCAGCAGGACACUUCGUCUUUGAAUAGGCUUCUCAUUUUCCAGACAAGCUCAGGGGAUCUGCAUCCUCCAGUAAAAUUUCUGUCUGCACAAAAUUGCCUUUUAGUGGUGAUUUAUAACUCAAUAAAAUGACAUCUCAAAAAGGAGAAUUGGUUUGAGUCUAUAACUGAUGUGAUUUAUGCAUGUUUUAGUUUUGGAAUACACAGAAUUUAUGCAAUGGAGAGAGGUCUCUGUGAUGUGAUGUGCAGAUGUACAUCCACAGAACUCAUGACAAGGAGGGAGGUGCAAAUGUCCUCAGGCAUCCUCUAAGCACAGACCUCCCUGGGUUCUAAUACAAAGAAUAUUCUUACUGAGCUCAGCCUCAAGCAGAGGGCUUCAUGAUUUUCUGGGUAUCAGAAACAUCCAUGGAACUUGCUAAAAUUAUACAUUCCUGGGCUCCACCCUAGAACCCAUGAACUAGAUUCAUUAAGAAUGGGGUGGGGUCCAGGGAUCUGUAGUUUAACAAUCUCUACAGGUGGUUCCAGUCACAUACUUGAGAAACCACUCCAAGUUGAGAAACACUUGUAGUUUGUAAUCAUUCACUGCCAAUGAACUAUUUGCUGUAAAAAGGGGAAGGGAACAAAUGCUUUUUAAAUGCCUUCUUUGUGUCAAGCAUUGUUGCUAGACAAUCUAAGUCUAUGUUUUUUUUUUUGUUUAAAUCUUGCAACAGUCCAAUAAGAUGGGUAUUAUUAUAUUCAUUUUGCACAGGAGAAAUUGGAGGUUCAGAGAGGUUAAGAAAUAUUAGCAAACAGCAAGAUAGAGAUUUGAACCCAGACCUUUCUGGCGCCACAGUGCACUUUUCCACUAACCCAUGUUAGCAGCCCAGGAUUGGGCCAAAUAUUUUCGAGUUUUUAAUAUGUUACCCUUAGAUCUACUGAGAGACAUUGUGAGAAAUUUCUUUGUUUUCUAUCCCCCCCUCUCAGCUUUAUCGAAGCAUAUUUGACAAAUAAAAAUUGUAUAUAGUUACAGUGUACAACAUGAUGCUUUGAUAUACAUAUACAUUGUGAAAUAAUUACCACAACCAAGCUAAUUGAAAUAUCUGUCACCUCACACCAUGACCGUCUAUGUGUGUGUGUGUGCGUGUUGAGAAUAUUUAAGAUCUACUGUGGUAGCAAGUUUCAAGUAUAUAUUAAAUACAGUAUUUUUAACCAUGUCACCAUGUUAUUUAUUAGAUUCCCAAAACUUGUUCAUCUUGUAACUGAAAAUGUGUACUCUUUGACCAACAUCUUUCCAAUCCUCCCAGUCCCCCAACCCCUGGUAAGCACAGUUCUACUUUCUGCUUCUAUGAGUCUGUCUUUUUUAGAUGCCAUAUAUAAAGUGAGAUCAUGUAGUAUUUGUCUUUCUGUGCCUGGCUUAUUUCACUCAGCAUAAUGUCCUCCAGGUUCAUCCACAUUGUCACAAAUGACAGGACUUCCUUCUUCUUCAAGGCUGAAUAGAAUUCCAUUGUGUAAGUGUGUGUGUGUGUGUAUGUGUGUAUGUGUGUGUGUGUAUCACAUUUUCUUUAUCUGCUCAUGUAUUAGUAGAAUCAACACUUAGGUUGAUUCUAUAUCCUGGCUAUUGUGAAUAAUGUUGUAAUGAACAUGGAGGUGCAUAGAACUCUUUGAGGUACUGAUUUCAUUUCCUUUGGAUAUAUACCCAGAAGUGGAGUUACUGCUACAUAUGAUAAUUGUAUUUUUAAAUUUUGAGGAACCUGCAUGCUGUGUUCCAUAACGACUAUACCAGCUAAUAUGGUUUGGCUCUAUGUCUCUACCCAAAUCUCAUGUUGAAUUGUGAUCUUCAGUGUUGGGGGAGGGGUCUGGUGGGAAAUGUUGGAUCAUGGGGGUGGAUUUCCCUUUUGCUGUUCUCGUGAUAGUGAGUAAGUUCUCAUGAGAUCUGGUUGUUUGAGAGUGUGUAGCACUUCCCCCUUUGCUCUCUCCCUCUCCUGUUCCAGCCAUAUAGGAUGUGCUGGCUUCCCUUUUGUCUUCUGCCAUGAUUCUAAGUUUCCUGAGGCCUCUGCAGCCAUGUUUCCUGUACCGCCUGCAGAACUGUGAGCCCAUCAAACCUCUUUUCUUUAUAAAUUACCCAGUCUUAGGUAGUUCUUUAUAGCAAUGUAAGAACGAACUAAUAUAUCAGUUUACAUUCCUACCAACAGUAUACGUGGGUUCCCUUUUCCCAUAUCCUCACAACACUUAUUAGUGUUUUUGAUGAUAGCCAACUGGGGUAAGAUGAUAUCUCAUUAUGGUUUUGAUCUGUAUAUCCCUGAUGAUUAGUGAUACGGUUUGGCUGUGUCCCCACCCAAACCUCAUCUUGAAUUGUAUCUCCCAUAAUUCCCACAUGUUGUGAGAGGAAUCUGGUGGGAGGUAAUUGAAUCAUGGGGACGGGUCUUUCCCGUGCUGUUCUUAUGGCAGUGAGUAAGUCUCACAAGAUCUGAUGGUUUUGUAAAGGGCAGUUCCACUACACAAGCUCUCUUGCCUGCUGCCAUGAAAGACGUGCCUUUGCUCCUCCUUUGCCUUCUGCAUUGACUGUGAGGCCUCCCCGGCCAUGUGGAAUGGUGAGUCCAUUAAACCUCUUUUUCUAUAUAAAUUACCCAGUCUUGGGUAGGUCUUUAUUAGCAGUGUGAGAACAGACUAAUACAAUUAGUGAUAUUGCACACCUUUGUAUGUACCUCUUGGCCAUUUGUAUGUCUUCUUUUGACAAAUGUCUUUUCAGGUUCUCUGCCCAUUUAUUUAGCCAGAUUAUGUUUUAUUGUUAUUAUUGUAUGAGUGCGUUUUAUUUUUCUGACUGUUAACCCAUUAUCAGAUGGAUGGUUUGCAAAUAUUUUCUCCCAUUCUGUAGGGUGCGAGAUAUUUCUUAAGAAGAUAAUGGUAAGUCCUUCCACUCACUUGAGGAAAGUAAAUUUCAGAUUUGUAGUGGACACUGGGGUCCAUGACCUGACACCCCACUUCAGGCUUAGUCAAUCAUUCUGUCAGCUAUGGAAGGGUUGGCACCUAGCAGCUUGCUUCAGAGUCCCCUCUUGAGAUUGUCCCCAGCUGAGGCACAGCACACCUCCUCCCUCGGGUGGCCUGUUUACAGUGACUGUCUAGGAAGGGGCAUAAACUUCCAACUACCUUGCCUCAGUUCAGACAACAUGGAAGGACAUCCCAGCUUUGGAGGGCCUCUGUGACUUGCUGGGGUCUUUAUCCUGAUUUCAGCUUCCUCCUCUGCCUAAUCCUGCUUCCUCUCUUGCCUUGACAGUUUCCCAGGAGCACUCUCCACAAACUUCCAGCAUGCCAAUCUCCAUCUCAAAAUUUGCUUCUCUGGGAAUGCAACCUGUGGUGUUGCUCAAUCAAACUGUUCCUGUAGACACAUUACACCCACGUUAGGUGUGUGAUGGACUGAAUUGUGACCCCCACCCCAAAUUCAUGUUGAAACUUUAACACCAAGGAACUCCAAAUGUGACUGUGUUUAGAGAUAGGGUCUUCACAGAAGUAAUUAAGUUAAAAUGAGGUCACAUGGGUGGGCCCUAAUCCAAUAUGACAGGAGUCCUUAUAAGAAGAGGAGAUGAGGACACAGCCACCCACAGAGGGAAGACCACACAGGGAGAAGAUGAAGGUCUACAAGUCAAGGAGAGAGGCUUCAGGAGAAAUCAACCCUGCAGACACCUUAUCUUGGACUUCCAGCCUCCAGAACUGUGAGAGAAUAAAUUUCUGUUGUUUAAGCCCCCACUCUGUGAUACCUUGUCAUGGCAGCCCAAGCAGAUACAAUAGGCGGAUUUAGAGGUUCUUCGUUUUGAUCCUGAUUCUUUCACUUUUAUACUUAAGGAACAACUCAGAAAUCUGAACAGGUUAAAUUCUCUUUUAAGUAUAAUGAAGCAGGAUGGUAAUUCUCACUACAUAGUGUUUUCAUAUUCCCUACAAUAGGUCAGGAUAAUCAUGUUUUUAGAGAGGUGAUAAAGAAUAUGCAUUACCUCUCUUCAUCACAUCUCUCUGUUUACAGCAUUUACUACAAACCUGAGGCAGAUGUAAAUACACGGUGUGGAUAAGUACCUUGGAACUGCAGUGAACUUGCAUUUAGUGGGAAAGAAUGGCAAAAUUUCCUUCCUUCCUUUCUUUCUUCCUUCCUUCCUUCCUUUCCUUCCUUCCUUUCCUUUCCUUUCCUUUCCUUUCCCUUCCUUCCUUCCUUCCUUCCUUCCUUCCUUCCUUCCUUCCUUUCUUUUCUUUCUUUCUCUUUUUUGAGACAAAGUCUUGCUCUAUCACCCAUGCUGGAGUGCAGUAGCGUGAUCUGAGCUCACUGCAACCUUCACCUCCUGGGUUCAAGCAAUUCUCCUGCCUCAGCCUCCGGAGUAGCUGGGAUUACAGGUGCACAUCACCAUGCCCGGCUAAUUUUUGUAUUUUUAGUAGAGACAUGGUUUCGCCAUCUUGCCCAGGCUAGUCUUGAACUCCUGACCUCAGGCGGUCCACCCACCUCGGCCUCCCAAAGUGCUGGUAUUAUAGGCGUGAGCCACCACGCCCAGCCGAUUUGGCUUUUUUUCUUUAGAUAAACUAUAACAUGCCAUGCCUGGCUGCAGGCUUCCUGCCCUAAUGCAAAGGUGAAAAAGCUUUGCAGUUUAAUUUGUUUUGUUUUUUUUUUUUUUUGGUUUUCAUUUUUUUCUGAGCCAGCCCCUUUAUUCUUUAUUGUCUUCAGUGGAGCAAUGGUAAAUGUUUAACUACCAGCUCUUUGAAAAUGAAAUAAAACAGAACCAUCCUGGGAAAAGAAUGCUGCAGGGUGCCAGCCUCUCUGCAGCCAGGGACAGCUCUCCAGGUGUGAGGAGACCUCUCCGCCUUCCUCCUCACACUGAUAUUAGUGCAGUUCCCUCAGGGCUUGCUUUUAUUUGCUGAGGCUUCUUGUAAGGGGUUUACUUUUAAGAGUAUUUAUGAGUUUAGCACAGGCUUCCCCAGUGAAUUUUUCUGUCCAUGCCUUCACUCAUGGUGUCUUCAUUGUCACCUCUGGAACCAGAAAAAUCACAGCUUAAGGAAGUUCAGGUGAGUGACCAAGUCUAGCCCCAUCCAGAUUCCCAAGGCUCAUUCUCCCACCAGGCCUUUCAUUAUGCUCUGUGUCUCUCAUCUUCUCCCUUCAAUGAUUUCUUUUAGCUGCACUGACUUGACUUUUUAUGUGCUAUAAAACUCAGGAAGCUUCUUUUGAGGGCUUAGUACGUGCCAAACACAAUUCUAAGCAACAUGCAUGUUUAAUCAUCACAAACCCUUUGAGGUCGGUACUAUUCUCAUUCUCAUAUUGUAGAUGAAGAAACUGAGGCACAAAGAGGGUUAAUAACUUGUUCAAGGCCCUAUUACUCAAUAGAGGCAAGACUGGGAUUCAAACUAGGCAGUAUGGCUUCUAGUCCGUAUUUUUUUUUCUUUUCUUUUUUUUUUUUUGGAGACAGAGUCUCGCUUUGUCGCCUAGGUUGGAGUGCAGUGGUGCAAUCACAGCUCACUGCAACCUCUGCCUCUGGGGUUCAAGCAAUUCUCAUGCCUCAGCCUUCUGAAUAGCUGUUACUAUAGGUGCGCACCACUACACCCAGCUAAUUUUUCUAUUUUUAGUAGAGAUGGGGUUUCACUCUGUUGGUCAGGCUGCUCUCGAACUCCUGACCUCAACUUAUCUGCCCGCCUUGACCUCCCAAAGUGCUGGGAUUACAGGCAUGAGCCACUGCACCCAGCCCCAGUCCAUAUUUUUAACCAGCAUCCUACCUGAAAAAGAGCAGUAGGAAUAUAUGUAUGCGUAGUGUGAAGUGAUGUGUGUGUGUGAGUGUGUGUAUCUGUGUGUAUGAAAAGUUAAAAUAAAGUUUAAUAAUGGGGGAAAAAAUCACCCAGAAGUCAUGAAAUUAAAGACCUCAAAGGCCCUUUUGACUCAACAUAGAUAAUUCUAAAGCAAAUUAAAAAAUUGAGGUGGUGAAAUUAUAUGGUUUUUAGGUUUAGAAUUCCAAAAGUUGAGAAUCAGCAUGUAUUGGAAAUACCAUAGAACUAAUGUUAAUUGCAGAGUUACAGCUGGAAUGAAAUACUGACUUGCUUCAGGGAAUGUUUUAUCUCCCUGUAUCUCUCUGUUUUUGUCUCAGUUUAGUAAUGUUGGCUGAGUAGGUAUAAAAAAUGAGAAGAGAGACAUUUUUUGUUUCACUAUUCAUAGAGAAAUUGGUAUUUAUAUUGAAUGGAUUGAGAAUUCACAAAUAAAUAUAGUUUGUUCCAGUUUGGAUUACUAAUUUGGUUUGGUGGAAGCCUCUGAAGUAUCCAGUUCUGUGACAGACUUUUGCCAUAGAAUCUAGUACUAGCGAGGAUUGUUAAGAGGUCAUUACCUUGACCUUAAAACAUCACAGUAAGCGGGCUAUUGUCCAAGAUGGACGAAUAGGAACAGCUCCAGUCUGCAGCUCCCAGCAAGAUUGAUGCAGAAGAUGGGUGAUUUCUGCAUUUCCAACUGAGGCACCUGAUUCAUCUCACUGGGACCGGUUGGACAGUGGAUGCAGCCCAUGGAGGAAACAGAGAUUCAAAAGGGUCAGGUCACUGGCUCCAGGUCAACUCUACUACUAAACAGAAAAGCAAGGACCAAAAUUCAGAUCUUUGUGACCCUCAAUGCCACUAUGCCAUGCGAUGAUGCCUGCCUCUUUUAGAGGCCAACUAAUAGGCCAACUUGAUUUUCUUGAGGAAUGGCCGAAUGGAAGUUGAAUGGUUGAAGGUGACUGGCAAACAGAGAAACAAGGCACCAAGAACUGGCUAUUUCCAAACGUGGGCAAUCAGCUUCUGAAUGAAUAGUUCAGAAUGAUGCAGCUCUGGAUGUUGGAAAGGACAAUUCCGGCGUUUUACUCUUCUGACCAGUUUCUUCGUUUUCAUAACUCUACUUGAAGAACAUAUGAUGUUUGCCAGUGUCUGACAUUACGGACCUCACAGCUUACUGAAUCUGAAAACAGGAGAUAGAGAUGGAAAGGAAAGCCUCAGGAACUUGUUGCAAUAGGGACUGCCAGGUCCCGUUGCACUAUUGGUGGAAGAGAGGUCCACACGGUGCCUACGAUAAGCGAUUUGUUCGUAUCUAUCCAGACUGCAGGUGCAUACAGCCACUCAUCCUCAAAUGCCAUCCUCAGGAGUUUAUGCUGCACACAGACUGGCACAUGUGCAGGAAGACAUAGUGCAGGGCUACGUGCUACAACAUUGUUGGUGACAGCAACAUAUUGGAAGCAACCUGAAUUUUUGUUAAUAGAGGAUUGGCUACAUAAAUGAUGCUAAUCUAUACAACUGGAGUACUAUGAUGCCAUAAAAAAGAAUGUACAAGGUCUUUACGUUUGGAAAGAUCUCUAAGAUAUAAUGAUUUUCUUUGCCUCUCAAGGGAGCUGGGAGAAACUCAAGUCUGAAACUCAAACUCAUCUCAGUCAUUCCUUUCCCUUCAACUAGACCUGAACCUCAGGAGAUCUGGAGUAUGUGCUGAAUUCUACUGGGAACUGAGCCCUCUGAAUAUUAUUAUUGUUUUGCUAAUACUUUUUGCUGGAAAGUACAUCAAACCAGGAUGUGUUGUACCUCUUGCUUUGCCAGACUAUUUAAAAGCAAAAGUGACCAGAUAUCCAACUUAAGGCUGAUCCAGGUUUUUCAUGAUCUAGCCAGGGGAGACAAACCUUCCAGGAAAGUCUCUAGCGAAGGCCAAGGAUUUUAGAAAGUAUCUGUGAACAAAGAAAUGCAAUGUUAGUGGGCUAAUUUCCAUAAUCAAAUGAAGCUGAUGCAAGUGCUUUGUGAAUUGAUGCCCAUCAACGAGAGACUGGAUAAAGAAAAUGUGGCACAUAUACGCCAUGGAAUACUAUGUAGCCGUAAAAAUGAACAAGUUCAUGUCCUUUACAGGGACAUGGAUGAAGCUGGAAAUCAUCAUCCUCAGCCAAUUAACCCAGGAACAGAAAACCAAACACCACAUGUUCUCACUCAUAAGUGGGAGCUGAACAAUAAGAACACGUGAACACAGGGAGGGAAACAUCACAUAGCAGGGCCUGUUGGUGGGCCGGGGGCAAGGGAAGGGAGAGCAUUAGGACAAAUAUCUAAUGCAUGCGGGGCUUAAAACCUAGAUGACGGGUUGAUAGGUGCAGCAAACCACCAUGGCACACGUAUACCUGUGUAACAAACCUGCACAUUCUGCACAUGUAUCCCAGAACUUAAAAAAAAAAAGAAAUGCUUUGUGAAUUAGUCAGGUUCACUGAUGGGAGCUUUGGUCCUGGCACCUGAGGACUGAGCUGGGGGAACCCACACCCAGGCUGCCCAAACACACAGAGGCAGGAGAGGUCAAGGGGCAUCUCGUGGGUGUGGAGUUUUGGACACGGUAUUGCCAUUGUCAGACAUGUGGCUAAGCCUGCAAGGAUGAGAGAGGAAGGAGGAAACCAGCUCCUCUCAACCCUGCAUCAGCCUGAGUGCUUUCAAUCUCUCUCAACCCUUCUCCUCUCUUUUCUCUUUUCUCCUUCCCUCCUUCCCUGAUGGUUUGCCAGGAAGCACAGAAUAAUGGAGUUCAGUGUUACUCAAGGGGCAGUCACCUGCACAGUCAUUACCGGAAUGACGUGUUUCAUCAGAUGUUUCAAAUCCCGAUUCUUGGGGCCUGCUCUAAACCUGCCUACCAAGGCUCUAGGGGCGAGGCCUGGGGACCUGCAUUGUUUGCAAACACCCACAGGUGAUUCUUACAUGCACGAAGCCAGGGAAGCAUUGAUAGAAAAGGUCUUAGACCAGCAGCCAAAAAACCCAAGUUCAAAUCCAUUUACUACCUGGGUGGUCUUGGGCAAGUUACUUAUUAAUUCCCGGCAUGGGAGUCAAUACUACUUUAUAGGAAUUUUUUAUAAGUUAUAGGAGAUACGCUGUUAUGUUAUAGGAGUUAUUUUUUUCUCUUUGAAGAUUAAAAGAGACAAAACAUAUGACAAGGCUGGCAAACAUUGAGCUCUUGCUACAUAGUAGUACACAGUGCCCUAGAGAGUUAGCAAAGGGACGGUGAGCUCACAAAAAUCUUUGUAGGCCUCAGGAUAUAUAUAUUUUGCAGUGACUUUCAAGGCUGAUCUAACUCUCUUUGGAUGAACACAGAGCAAGGAGACUUGCCCACUGAGUGACUUUACUAUACCCCCAGGCCUUACUAACUUGCCCAGGAGUGGGGAAUAUAGUGCUAGAAGGAAGCCAAAGCAAUAAAGAGACACUUUCAGAAAAGCAGGCACUGCAAAGACAACCAUUCCAGCUGGAAGAGCAUGUGGUGGGAGUGGCGUCCUCUCAGACAUGAUCCUCUGCAGGGCUCAUGGGCUCAAAGUCACAGGUUCUCACCAAGGGUGAUGAUUUCCCACAGGGAGCAUCUAGCAACGUCUGGAGACAUUUUUGUCACAGGGUAGGGAAAGGGGGUUGCUACUAGCAUGCAGUGAACAGAGGCCAGAGAGGCUGCUAAACAUCCUACGGUACACUGGACAGUCUUCCACAACAGAAAACUGUCUGGCCCCAAAUGUUCAUGGUUUCAAGGCUGAAAAACACUGCUCUAAGCUAAUGCAGAAGACUUAGUCAUGGGUGAUAGAAGGAGGCCCCUAGGUGGCUACAAACCUCUGAGGGACAGCCUUCCGCUGUGGUGUUGCAAAGUCUCCCAGUUGCACAAGGUCCUGGCGUCCUGCUCAUUGGUGGAUCACCAUUAACCACCUUGCACGUCACAUGUUCAACAUAGCUAGUUUCCCACCCAUUCUUAACGAUGAUAAAUCAGGAAAAGCAUUCUUAGAACACUAGAAAAGCAGAAGUGUGGCUCUCUACAGGGCAGCGGGGAGGUUGCCUCACUCCUAGAAGAUGUCUUGUUUUUACCAAGAGGGUAGAGGGAUGAGAGGAGCUGGAAGACCACGCUGAGGAGCCACGUCCAGACACAUGAAACGAACCUCACAGCCCCACAAGGAUGCCGGGGAGGGCACUCAGUGCUUGGGAUCAGAGCCACGUGGCCACUGGUUUCCGAUGCCCCUUUGCUAGUAUCUGGCUUCCGUGAUUCCCUUGCCUUCAUUUUGUGGCUCUCUCCUGACACUGCCGGCUGAGUGUCUUAGUUAACCAGUAAUCUGGCUUUUCUCCCUCCACUUUGAUCUUCCUGUCUCUGCCUGUCUCCUCUUUCCUGGCAUGGCAUGUGCUCUCGGGCUGUACCUCUGGUAGUGAAUCUCUGGCUGCCCUGGACUCCUGCUGUGCACACUGCCCUGUGUGCAGGUCUGGAUGCCUGGUGUUCCUUCUCAGUGCACCGCCCGAUCCCCUGGGAUCUCUUCACCAUUUUCAUGCAUGGUGCCACCCCACGUGCAGGGCCAGCUUCAUGGCACGUCACCUGUGUGCUUGCAUAGGACUUGGUGCUCAGAAGGACUUCUUGAUGGGUUUCAUGCUCUGCGGCCACCGUAUUAAAAUUGUAAUAAUUUCCUCUUGAAACUUGUAUUUUGUAAGUGACUUCUGAUGAGACAGCAUGGAAUGAGCAGAAACACAGGAGAUACGUGUGCCUGUCCUUUCUUGUCACCCUAUUCACAUGGAGCAUUCGCCAUGAACUCAGAAUUCUGGUGUAUUCACAAUGUGUGGGAGUUCAUGAAGCUUCUAAGUGACUCCCAAGUGUGUUUUGUCUAUGAUGAGUUAGCUGGGGAGGGGGAGGGACACUGACAGCCCUGAGAGGCCACACUUUCCAUUUGAAAACCAAAACUUGCUUCAAACACAAAGGCAGCAGUGGUAUUCUAAGAAACACAUAUGACCAAGGAAACUUGGUUUGACCUUUCUUACUCAUGUUACUUCUUUGCAUUUGCAAACAACUUAAACUGAAAAUGAAGACACAGAAAGAAAUAGAAAGAUAAGGCAACCCAUAGGCCUUUUUUAAAUUCUUCCUUACUUGUCAGUAAGCCAAAGGUAGAGAGCAUUGAUAGAACGUGCAUGUAUCAGGCCGGGCACGGUGGAUUACGCCUGUAAUCCCAGCACUUUGGGAGGCCGAGGUGGUGGAUCACCUGAGGUCAGGAGUUUGAGACUAGCCUGGCCAACAUGGCAAAACCCUGUCUCUACUAAAAAUACAAAAAUUAGCAGGGUGUGGUGCCGGGUGCCUGUAAUCCCAGCUACUCGGGAGGCUGAAGCAUGAGAAUCAUUUGAACCCAGGAGGCAGAGGUUGCAGUGAACUGAGAUCAUGCCACUGCACUCCAGCCUGGGUGACAGAGAGGGACUCUGUCUCAAAAAAAAAAAAAAAGAAUGUGCAUUAUUGAGAAGCGAAAUAAAAGCAUUGAAUUAGUUUUGUGCAGCAUUUUCCACUGUUCUGGUAAGAAUGAAAUAUGCAAAUUGCAUCAUUUGGAACAAUUUAGCAUACAAAUUAAAUGCUCUUAUAUUUUCGUUUAAAGCUGGCUUUGCACAAUAUAAAGAUGAAUGGUAAGAUUCAUGCUAACAAUUUAAAAUUUUAAUUUUCCUUUACUUAGAGUGGCAUUAAAUAGCGAAUAAGAAUGAUUUUAAAAGCCUUGUGACAAGUCAAAAGAGAGACUGCAGAAGAAAAAAAGCGGCUUUUAUUUUAGUACCUUUCACAGCAGAGGUUGUUUUUGUUCCUGCUUUUGAAAAAGGGCUCCUACAUUUUCGGUUUGCACUGGCAAACCUUUUAAUGAAACAGUAAAGCAAAGUUCCUUACAUUAAAAAGGAGUCAUUUUUAAUCUCCCAGUCUACAUAGACCCAAUUUUCAUUUUAACAAGUUUCUUGGCUGGGUGCAGAGGCUCAACGCCUGUAAUCCCAGCACUUUGGGAGGCCGAGGCGGGCGGAUCACCUGAGGCCAGGAGUUCGAGAUCAGUCUGGCCAACAUGGCGAAACCCCGUCUCUACUAAAAAUACAGAAAUUAGACAGGUGUCGUGGCACAUGCCUGUAAUCCCAGAUACUUGGGAGGUUGAGGCAGGAGAAUCUCUUGAACCCUGGAGGCGGAGGUUGCAGUGAACCGAGAUCUUACCACUGUACUCUAGCCUGGGCAACAGAGCAAAAACCUCAUCUCAAAAAAAAAAAAAAAAGGAAAAACAAAACAAAAAAAACCCCAAGUUUCUCCCAAGUCCGCUGGACUUUGUUAUCAGAAGGUCUUAUGAGCCGGGUAUUUAGCUCUGCUGUGAGUUCAAAGCAACACAGGAAUAAAGCACAGCUGCUGAACCCAGGUCCUCCCUGCUCAUGAUUAUAGCUUGCUGUGGGACUCCACCAAAAUUGCAUUCUGUGUUUAUGGCAUCUAAGAAAUUCUUGAGAGUGGUACUGAUCUACCAAUUAAACACACUGGUAUGUUUGGCCCCAUGUGGCAGACAAGGAAAAGGGUUUACAUUUUCUUAUGGGAAAUAUUUUCUUUCUCAUGCUUAACUUUUAUUGUUCACAGAGGUUUUCAAAGUAUUGCCAAAGUCUAUGAACACCAUUCUGGAGUCACCUGGACAUUCUAGACUUUCAGAGCGGCAUGGGUGGUGUUUUACAUUGUAUUUUUUUCUAUCCAGUGUGGAUUCAUAUUUUUUAAAUCAUAAAAAUUCACCAGCUUCCCUCUGCCCCUCCUGGCCUUUGUCACUGAGAACACAGGAGCACAUGGGUGGCUGUCUGAGGCUUGGGCAAGGCCCUGGGCUUGCCUGGGGCCCAGCUGCCCCUGCCCCGUACCAUCUUCCUUCCCCCUCCACUCAGGAACAAAAGGUCCCACGGUUCAGGCCAUCUGGAUUUGGAGCUGUCAUUUAUAGUCGCCCAAACUUUGAGGAUGACUUACUUGUGAAAACAUAAGAGAUGCAUUCAGAUAGGAGAAACAAUUUUGAGAACCAGGAAAAAGAGAGAAAGAGGUAGAGUUGUGUGGUGAGAAAAGGGAUGAAUUGGCAGUUGGAGACUUGGGUUUUAGGUAGAGUGACCAUGUAACUUAUUAAUCAAACUGGAUUUCUUUUGAGAGCGACAGGGAUUCCUACUGGUGAUGAUGCUGGGACAACAGGAGCACAUAGGGACUGUACUGGUGUGGCAUGGCCACCAUAGUUCUAGGGCAUUAAUCAUCCAACUGUCAGCAAGUCACUUAACAUCUCUGGGCCUCAACUUUUGAAGAAAGAGACAAUCGGACUACAAUUUCCUUAGUCCUUUUACCACUAAGGACCUCUUACUAAUCUCUCUCCACAGUCUUCCUGAUUUCAAAAUUAUCAUAUCAAUUAGGUACUGAGUGAUAUAUAAUGAGUGCAAGUUCUGUCAAUCAGAACUUUUGUCAGCAUUGAAAUAACCAGUUAUUGCACCGCGUUCAUACAGUUUUAGGCAAAAGAAAACUUGACAUUUUAAUACACCUGUGAGUCCUAUUUAAAGUACAUCGAACAGUUCUGACACCAUUUUAGAAAAUGAUAAUAGCUUUUGAGUCCCCUCCAGUAUCUUCACAGUCAAUAGACCUCGAAGUCUGGAGGUUGAAAGCCACGUUACUCGAUGAUCUGUUGGUUUAUAUCCAGUUCUAGUCUUCUCUGAUCACCUGAUAACUUCAGUGCCUCAUGCUAUAAAACACAGACAGAGAAAGACGAUGGAAAGUGAAAGAGGGCCUGCUGGAAGUCAGAAGCUGCCGUCCAUUAAUGUGGGUCCAGCAAGAGGGCCUGUGUGAAGAUGUUAGAUGGGGAGGCAAUCCCUCAUGCUAGGGUGCCUGGACAAAGUUUCUGCAGAGGGAAAAGAGGAUGCUUUGCCUUGGGGCAAAUUUCCUCCUGGCUUAAGUCGUCUUAAUCCACACCUGGGAGAAUUCUUAGGGUGUAUUCACAACAUUAGGAGAUCAACAGGGAGCAGGAAUGGAACAGCUGUGCAACAGCUAUCUCUUUGCUUCUCUUCCACUUAUAUGAGCUCACCCUAGGGGGAAAAUGGACAGUCAAAAGCCUUCCACAGAUCAAUAACAGUGGGUAAAUCUGAGGUCUGCAGAAUCAAAGAGUGAAAUAAAUAAAGAACAGGCCUGCUGCCUGCUCCCAUGGGUAGUACUAGCAUUCUAGUUUCUGUGGCAAUAAGCUUGCAAUGUGCUCAGUGGGGGCAGUGCCACCCACCACGUGGUGCCUGGGAGUGCGUGCAUUGGUGGGUGGAUGGUUGUGACAAUGACCAGAGGAGGACACCACUUGCAUUCUGUGCCCUGUUGUGUGCUGGAGACACUCCCAUAAGGAAGAUUCAUCCCACCCAAAAUGUCAAAAGUAUCUCCACUGAGAAACGCUGAAUACAAGAAUGGGCUUUACAUUCAUACAUAUCAGGAAUUACUUGGAUCCUGUAACAGGGUUAAAAUAAUCCUGGACAACUUCCUAUGGUGCCAGACCCUUGGGCAGAACUUCCAGAUGAAGCAGAUUGAUUCUAAUUGCUCCUGGAUAAAAGAAAAGAGCACAGGUCAUCCCAGAAGGCACUGGGCAACCCACCCCAAGCCUAACAAUAUAUUAAGUGUUGGGUGUAGGGAUGGCUUCUCUUUUCUCUCAAACUUGACAGCACUGUUGAAUCAUUGUCUUCAUUUACUUAUGAGAUGAUUGGCAUUGUCCUUUAAAGCAGAACAACUUGAGCUAAAGCUAAAGGCCGGUGUGCAGCAGCCGGGUGACCCUUUGUCUCUACUUUGCCUUCCGUGCUAAGUGUUGACUUCUGCUGAGUUUGAUUUCAUUCAUUUCAGCUAGACAUGUCUGGUGAAUAAACUUCUUACCAAUCUUCCCCUGGAAUGGUUGAGUCAGCUCUGGUGUGAGUUAGUGGCCCCAGAGGGGAGCAGGCCAAGACGCCCUCUCCAUGAGAUACCUCCUAAAAGGGAAGAGGUCAUUGAUGACCCACAAAGGAGGCCAGGACCAUAAACAUUUCAGAAUUCAGUUGUCUUAAAAUCUUAAAUAAUGACAAACAUUUGCUUGUUUGAGCCUUUUAAGUCUUCCCGUCUUUGGACUUGAGCCCCAGUGCCUGGCUGCAGAAUUCCAUGGUGAGGCACAAGCAUGACAUCAUGUUCAGGAGGAAUGCACAGCACAUAAAGUCUUGCCUGGGUCAGAGAGAAGUGCUAAGCCCUCAAGAGGGCCCUAAGACAAAUGCACAAAUAUGGCCUAGCACAUGUCAAACACCCGUGCAAGGGCAAACAUCUUUAUGACUUUGGUCCUGGGAAGAGAGACCCGGCUUGGGAUUAGAAAUUACAGCUGACAAGCUGCUGAUGAGGCAGUAAUGACAUUCAGCGUGGGAAUGGUCACUUUGGGAACUGGGAGCUUAGCACACUAGGCUCCAAGUCUCAGAGUGAAGCCCGGGGCAACUCCUUCACCUUGGCUGGAAUAAGUUAACUCACCCCACAACCUGUCCCCCAGGACCUUUCUCUGCCUUCCUUUGGGGUUAUAGGCUUCCCUGCAGUUCUUUAGGGUUUUGACGCACAGGACAAUUUAACAUCAAGGGAAUGCCCAAGUUGGGGGAAGAAUAUCUUUCUUGGCUAUAAAUGUUACUCUGAAAUUCUUCUCAACUGUAAUGUUUUAAGAGCACUUACAAUGUGCCUGACCUGCCCUGUGCAAUGUCCCUCCCCUCUUAGAGCUUACAACUCAUAAGCACGCUUGCAGAUGUCCUCCCUGAUCCCCAGAGCUCCAGCCAACUUCAGUGUAGGGGUCCCCUAGGGGACAUUUAGCAAUGUCUCGAGAUGUUUUUUGACUGCCACAACUGGGUGGGGGGGGCGGUGGCUGUUACUGGCAUGUAGGGGAUAGAGACCAGGGAGGCUUCUAAACAUCCUAUAAUGCACAGGACAUCCCCACCCCCAACAAAGAAGAAUCCAGUCCAAGAUGGCAAUAGUGCUAAGCCUGAGCAACCCUGCACUGGGGAGGGCCUUGCCUUUGCAUAAGCCAAGAAGGAAAUUACUUAGAUUUGCACCAUCCAAUGGGGAGCUUCCUGUGAGACCAGAAAUGAUCAGUAUCUGUGCUGUCCGAUGUGGGAGCUACCAGCCACAUGUGGUUAUUGAGUGGGUCAAACGUGGCCAGUGUGACUGAGGUAGUGAGUUUUUUAUUUUAUGUAAUUUUAAUUAAUUAAAUUGUAAUCGUCCCAUGCAACUGGUAGCUACUCUGUUAGGCAGCACGAGUCCAUACAGCGGGAGCUUAGAUGCACUGAGAUCACCUGCCCCCUAGUCAGAUGUCCUUUCCACUGGUUUAUGACUGAGAAUCCAAAGUUAGACACUCCUUCUUUAGCUAAGACUUUAACCCGUGUUGGUAUGACAUUAUCUGUGGGAGGGAGAAGACCUUUAACUUGUAAAGAGCUGUUGCUAAUUUAAUAUGACUAACGGAUCUGAAAGAUAUUUUGGCGGGAACAGAGAGCACUAAGAGGCCUAGGGUAAAAAACAGGACCCCGUGAGAAUGACCAGGGGGUAAGCUUGGGGAGGGGCUAACUAGGAUACACUGGGGGAGGUGGAGACAUAGGCUAGACGUAGCAAAGGCAACCAGUGCUUUCUUUCCUCAUAUACACUCUGCUGAGACUGGAAGCCAAUCACUCAGCAUUCUCAUCAGACUCAUGUCUGUGAAAACCAGAGCCAAAGAGUGCCAGGAAAGACAAGGUCCGUGACAAAGGGCAGCCUGUUUCCUGCUUUUUCUCUUCCUCCUUGUGGCUUUUAGUCUAAGUCCCCAAGCACUGAAAUAUUUUGGUGCCUCCUCCCAUAUAUAAACCCAGAUUAAAGCAAUACUAAACCACAAAACAUAAAAUGAUUUCUUUUUAUCAGUUAUAAAAUUCUGGAUAAGUCCAUGAAAGCCUCAUUGUUCUGACUUUGGCUGGCACCCCAAGCAAGUAAGCACCUUGUUGUUAACCUAGCACUGCUUUAGGGUCUGAGUAUUAGGGCUGUUUUCUCCGUAAUCCGUUGUUUAUCUAGUCUAUUGUGCAAAUUUUCACAAAUGGAAUAUUGUGUAGAUACUCUACUCUACAGACUCUAGAGAAGAAAGUCAGCAACCUCACCUGGUAAGCUCCACCUACCCAUGUUUCUAGAGAGGGGAAAAAAUAGCUGAAACAAAUCAAACCAAACCCAAAAUGCUCUUUUCCUCAAUGUUCUGCAGGGCUCAAAUGUGAGCUUCUGGUAGUAUCGGCUUUGGUGAUCUCCAUGGGGAACAGUGGAGACUGAUCUCAAACAGUGAGUUCACCAGAAUUAUGGCAGUGAAGGGGAACUGCGGUAUAAGAAUUGCUAAAAAGAUAAAAAUUGUUCUGUCCAGAGAGACGCAAGUUGAGAGAGAUGUAGGGCUGAGAGAAUAGAUAGUUGUGAGCAUUUACUCCUCCACAAAUCAUGAGUUUUUCUGAAGCAACAGGGUGAGGCGGGGGUGGGGGGUGUGGACAGGAAGGUAGAUAAAUUUAAAACAGUAAAAUAGUAAAAGGAAGUAUUAUAUAAAACAGUGUGGCGGUGGUGGGAGUGGGGAGGAGAUAUGACUUAAGAAUUUUUUAUCCCAACGCUAAAGGGUGCAAAAAUAAAAGGGUUCAAAAAAUGUUUAAAUGUAAAAUGACAGUUCCAUAACAAAUUAUUGACUGGAGGAAACUGAAGAUGUUUAAAGCUAAUCUCAUGAGAUUAGCAUAGGAGGUGCUCCAUCUCCUUCCAAAAACGACCCCUUGCCAUUCUCCAAAAUGCAACACUUAGACCUGCCUGAUCAUGAAUCUUUGGGUUUAUUUCAUAUGGCCACACUUGUUGUGGAAUAAGGUCAAUUAAACCUCACGGGUAAGUUUGCAAUUAACUGACAUUUGACAUAAGCAGCUUUUACGGGUUGGUGCUGAAACAGGCUGAGAAACACAAUCCCUCCCUGGGUAGAACUAGGAGCUUUCCUGUGGCAGCAGCAAGCCCAGACAUACAGAGGGCUGGAGGGGAGCUGUAGUUCAAAUGCAGUAAUAGCUGUUUUUAAACUGAUCCGCUCUAAGUCUUUGAGUGCAAUGGCUGAUUAUUGGGUCAACAAACAUGAAAAGCAUUGUCAUUGGCCCAAGUUUGAACCAGAAGCAACAUGUCUUUCAUGAGCAUUUAGGAUGAAAGAUGUAAGAUUAGAAAAAAAUGUUGGUAACAGUGAGCAUCAUUUGAGGGUCUUUGUAAUGUGUGUUUUGCCCUAAGAGGAAAAGUAAGGCAAGAUCUAUGAAAUGUCCUUGAUCUUUUUGCAACCUAGAGUUGUAGGCCCUGCAUUACCUUCAUGUUUCCAUUUCAAGAACUGCCAGGUUUGUUUUCCAAUGAAACUUUCAACUGUCAGCUUAAUAAGACUGUGACCAUGUGGUGCAGUGAACAAUGGUUCAAGGACUACUUCACUGAGUGUGAAUUUGACUACAUUAUGCCUAUUCUUAAAAUCCUUAAAAUUCAUCAAUGGUUCUCCAUUACCUCCAAGACUGGGAGUUUCCUUGCUAGGAUGUACCACUCUCAUCUCUCGCCUCACAUUGCGCUACGUCCGCUUCUCCAAAUGCUCCAAGUUCUCUUGUAACACCACAGCCUUGCACGUGCCAUGCCUUCAUUUUAGAAUCAUACAUGCCUUCUCUACAAAACCAUCCUAAGCAGCUCUUGAAUUAGAUGCUCCUUUGCACUCUGUGCUUAACUUGUUUACAGCACACGUCGUGUUCUAUUUAAGUGACCUCCCAACUAACCUGUGAGAUUCCAGAAGCUGGGUGAGUGUGCUCUGGAACUGAUUCUUCUGCUAGAUGCUGAGAACAUGUGGGCAAUGGCACGUUCUCAGCAUCUAGCACCAUCCCAGGCACAAGUGGAGCAGAGGUAGAUCUGUGCUUGAUGAUUGAAUGGAUGAGUUUCAGUGAACUGUGAAUGAUGGGGAGCUUUUCAACAAAGCCACACUCCAUGUUUUCUCUUCAGCAAAAUAAAUGCUGCAUAGAAGCGGUUAAUAGUCCCCCUUAUGUCAGCUCAGCACAUAGAUAUAUGAGGAGUCCCACGGUUUCCCAUAAGCCAAAUAAGACAAAGUAAAAGCAAUAAUGGUCCAUACACUUCAGAAAAAGGAAGGAAGGAAAAAAGGAAGGAAGGAAGGAAGGGAGGGAGGGAGGGAGGGAGGGAGGGAAGGAAGGAAGGACAAUUUUCCCAUGAGUCUACUGUCAGUGAAAGCUAUUAUUUAAAUAGCAUUUUUUUCCGAGGCUUUGUCUAUCAGCACAAAGAAGAAAGUGAAAUAUAUUGGGUUCCAUCCAUGAGAUUAAAAGAGGAACAUCUUUCAGUUCCCAAUCAAUCAAAAGACACAGGUUGUGUUUCAAUCAGAAGCCAUUUCUGAAGAGGCACAGGAGCGUAGGAGAGUUGUGUUAGGCAAUGGAAACCAAACUGAGCCUGAAAUGAAAGCCUGGGUCAAUUAGUCAGUUUCUUUCCCAAUAUCUGCCCUAACAUUGUCUUCUAAGUUUUUGGAAAUGAAUACGCUUUAUUAUUCACCUCAGUUGGAUUUAUUGUGCCUCACAGGUAUUGACUCCUCUUGCUCUUCCUCCUCUCGCUAUGGAAAGACUGAGCAGAGGAAGUGCUCGGACAGGCAUGCCCUCCCAGAAUGCAAGAAAGCCAUCAGGCAAGCGGCAGGUGCAGAGACCACAGCCAGGGCCACACAGCCUGGAGAGGGACUCCCUCCUGGCAGGGAAGGCUGUCUCUACUUGCUCCUCUCUGAGAAUGCUCACCAGGUGUGGCUGGGGGUUUUGGCAGCCUGCAGCUGUGUUUAGGAGGGCAUUUGCUUUAUCUACCACAUCCUUUGAGGAUUUCAUUGCAGGCCAUUUUAUCCACUUUAAUGAAUGUUCUGGCAGCUUGUGAACCUGGGGCUGUGUCUGCAUGCCCUGAACAGUGCUUAUGUUCACCAUCGUUGAGGUUGAAUGUAACAUAUAUUCACAGAUCCUUCUGCCACCUCCUUUUCACAAGAUGGACCCUCCAGUUCUGGCCAAAACAAGAAGAAAGCUGUAAAAAGAAGGGCUUUAGCCCAAAAGUUGGGGUUGCUCAGUUUUUUUCCUUUCCCUCAUACCCCAUCAGCUAAUUAAUCACCUCCUACUGCAAUUUAUAAUUCCUUAACAGUUUUCAAAUCUGUCCUCUAGAUUAGCUAAAUAAAUAUAGCACAUCAAUCAAAAAUCAAGUUCUAUAAAGUUACUAAUAGGGAAAUAUAUAAAGUGGAAAAAGCUGUUUAUAAAAGUCUGAGUAAAUGACUAUAUAUGUACAUAGAUAUGAUUUUGAAAAGAACUUAAUAGGAUACACAAACAUUAAUAAGAAUGCUUAUUUCUGAGUAAUUAAGGGGCGAUUUUGUUGUAUUCCUUAUACAUUUUAAAUGUUUUAAUCCAAAAUUUUUUACAGUGAGUAUGUAUUAUCUUUUGUCAUCUGAAAAAUAACACAAAUAAAUAAGUUAAAAUAGAAUUAACUGAAUUUGUACAAAUCGGGCAAGAUAAGGGUGCCCCUGUUUUCUCUAUUCAUGCCACCGCUACCACUGUUUAGACUAUUGGUCAUAAUUUUUUUCUCACCUGCAAAUAUCUCCUUGCCUGUUACUUUCUCUUCAGUUUCUUUCCCCAUUAUUCAUUCUCUCUGAAAAUAUUAGGUUGGAGCAAACGUUAAUUGCAUUUUUGCAUUGUUGGAAUUUGCUGUUUGAUAUUGGAAUACAUUCUUAAAUAAAUGUGGUUAUGUUAUACAUCA